ACGAUGAGAACUAGAUGUCGGGAGGAUUUAGCCUUUCGGUGUCGCAGCUAACGCAUUAAGUUCUCCGCCUGGGGAGUACGCCGGCAACGGUAAAACUCAAAGGAAUUGACGGGGACCCGCACAAGCGGUGGAGCAUGUGGUUUAAUUCGAUGCAACGCGAAGAACCUUACCUGCCCUUGACAUUGACAGAAUCCUGUAGAGAUACGGGAGUGCCUUCGGGCCUGGAAAACAGGUGCUGCAUGGCUGUCGUCAGCUCGUGUCGUGAGAUGUUGGGUUAAGUCCCGCAACGAGCGCAACCCUUAUCCUUAGUUGCCAGCGGUUCGGCCGGGAACUCUAGGGAGACUGCCAGCGACAAGCUGGAGGAAGGCGGGGACGACGUCAAGUCAUCAUGGCCCUUAUGGGCAGGGCUACACACGUGCUACAAUGGCCGGUACAGAGGGCUGCAAACCCGCGAGGGGGAGCCAAUCUCAGAAAGCCGGUCGUAGUCCGGAUCGGAGUCUGCAACUCGACUCCGUGAAGUCGGAAUCGCUAGUAAUCGCGAAUCAGCAACGUCGCGGUGAAUACGUUCCCGGGUCUUGUACACACCGCCCGUCACACCAUGGAAGUAGGUUGCACCAGAAGUAGGUAGUCUAACCCUCGGGAGGACGCUUACCACGGUGUGGCUUAUGACUGGGGUGAAGUCGUAACAAGGUAACCGUA
rnacentral:rRNA from 1 species